UCACCUGUAGAGUCCAACAGAACAACAUCCACCAGACCAGAGAGGCUCACAUACAUGUUCCAGAUGAUUUCUUCGUGUCCUCGUCCAGUUCUGCUGUUCCCAUCAUCACUGGUUUGGUUGUUAGCUUAGCUGUUAGCAUCAUGGUUAUUUUGGCAUGUGUCUUCUUUGUGUGGAGACAAAAUAGAACCAAAACCAAGAAAAGAUCCAGAGAUGAAGCAGAGAAGGAGAAACUUUUAGAAGAAACUAAAGAUAGAAAUAUGAGAAGAUUGAAGAAGAGCUGCAGAAAACCAAAGAAGAACUGAAGAACAAGACUGAAGAGAUGAAGAAACAUGUAGAUAAAAAUACACACCAACCACUAAUACUCAAAACUCUUUUUCUUACAUUUAUGUGCACACAUACAUACACUCAAAAAUAUAUAUUCACAUAUACGGAGGUGGGAAAAAAUUUUUUCUGACACCCCAUGCAUUUGUGAAAUAUUGCAAGAAUCAUGCAUAGGUCUUCAAGAGCAAUUUAUUUUUGUACAAUCUCAGACAGAAUACUAAACAAAUCCUAACAGCCAUCAUAACCUUAAAAAUGACUGGUUCCAUAAAAAGAAAGUAAGUAUUGUUGUCAUGAUUAUGUCUUGUAUCAUGUUUCAGUUUUCCGUAUUAUUUUGUCAUUCUUUGUAACUUCCUGUCUGUGGUGCCUCCUUGUGUUUUUGUCAUGUCUGUCUGUGUCAUGUUUUGUGUUUGCUGUUAUAUAUUGUUAAGUUUCUGGAUUUCCUUGAUUAUUCAUUGGUUUCUCUCCUUCGGUUUUCCCUGAUCGAUCUCACCUGUGUCAUGUUUCCCUGAGCCCUCUCGUGUAUGUAUAGCCCUGCUUUCCCUUUGUUCCUUGUUGCGUCGUUGUGUUACUUUGCUGAUGUGUUCCAUGUGUUGCUUUCCACUUGUUCCUCUUGUGUGUGCUUGCCUUAUUGAGUUCUGCAUUACCUGCCUUCUGCAGCACUUUUUAAUUCCCCUUUGUUUUCAUUAAGAACCCUUUUCCCCUGAUUCCCUGCCUCCUCAUCUUUAGUCCUGUAUUUUGGGUCCUCACCUCAACAAUCAGUCCUGACAGUUGCGUCAUUUUGGUUCCAGUGAUCCACUAAUGAAGGCUGUUGUUAGAUCCCCACAAUUCACAGGUAAGACAGCUUCUCCGUUUAUAUACAGUAGGGUUACGGCUUCACGUCUGCGGAGUAUUACUCCAACUGAACUUAAUGAGAGCACUGCUCAAGCUGUAGACGAGGUAACUCGCCUGGCUUCUAACCACCCUUAAUCCUGACGUCUGCCCCGCUUCCUCACGUCCCCCGGAACCACCAGUCAGGGAGGCUUCCUGCAGCUGGGUCUGAAGUCGAGUCCAGUCAGUUGUGGUGGCUUACCCCUAAUGGGUCUGUGCACUUGGUACGUGCCAGGUUAUAAUUUAAAGGCUAGGCUGAAAGUCGGAGCUACCAUUCAGGUUGCCUAUAGUUUUACUGUCUUGAGUACCAGCGAAAAGGGAGAAAUAAUCAUCAGCAAAGACUUCUGACCUUUAGAGCCAAAUUUUAUUUGCAGGUUAAGCUUAAGCAAAUUGCAACAACUCAAUAAAUCAAUCAAAUCCAAAAUCAGCCAUUGGUUAAAAUAAUAUUCAAGCUUCAGAUAAUCAAUUAAAAUUUUCACUCAUGUAACACCUAAUUAGAAAUAUCCUUAUCAGAUUCUAUUUCAAAAAUUAAUUAAUCAAAAAGAAUUACUUAUGAGCCAGGCAGAUGAAGUAGGGGUAAAUGUCCAAAACUGUCCAAAAUAUCCUCCUUGACUCCGUACAAAGUCCAAGAAGUAGAAAUCCAAAGUCUGAAAGAUAAUCCAGACUAUGUCUGCUAGGCAGGGGGAAUCCAGACCAAACUAUAAAAGCCAAUGUAGCACUGCGAGGGAGUUGGCUCAGUCCGCAUGCAGCACAGUCUGUGUCCGAGGUGAAAUUCCCGUAAGAUACUUCUGCAUUUCAUCUUUUAUGCUCUAGUAGCUACUGUCAAACAUGGUGAAGAUUUGAGGGAUGCAUCAGUGCUGCUGGUGUUGAUCAUCUCACUGUCUGUGAUGGAACAUUGAACUGUGACUGAUACUGAG